AGUGGAAUUCCUGGCCUGUAUGGUAAGUUUAUGUUUAGCUUUUUAAGAAACUGCCAAACUGUUUUCCAAAGUGAUUGCACUAUUUUACAUUUCCACCAGCAAU
rnacentral:pre_miRNA from 1 species